rnacentral:rRNA from 1 species
GAUGAACGCUGGCGGCGUGCCUAAUACAUGCAAGUCGAACGCAUUGUGGUUGAAAUGAUAUGAAGAACUUGUUCAGAUUUGAUUUUCAACAUUGCAAUGAGUGGCGAACGGGUGAGUAACACGUGGGAAACCUACCUCUUAGCAGGGGAUAACAUUUGGAAACAAAUGCUAAUACCGUAUAAUAAUUAAAACCGCAUGGUUUUAGUUUAAAAGAUGGUCUUGCUAUCACUAAGAGAUGGUCCCGCGGUGUAUUAGUUAGUUGGUGAGGUAAUGGCUCACCAAGACAAUGAUACAUAGCCGAGUUGAGAGACUGACCGGCCACAAUGGGACUGAGACACGGCCCAUACUCCUACGGGAGGCAGCAGGUAGGGAGUCUUCCACAAUGGACGAAAGUACUGAUGGAGCAACGCCGCGUGUGUGAUGAAGGGUUUACGGCUCGUAAAACAC